rnacentral:rRNA from 1 species
ACUCCUACGGGAGGCAGCAGUGGGGAAUAUUGGACAAUGGGGGAAACCCGUGAUCCAGCAAUGCCGCGUGAGUGAUGAAGGCCUUAGGGUUGUAAAGCUCUUUUACCAGGGAUGAUAAUGACAGUACCUGGAGAAUAAGCUCCGGCUAACUCCGUGCCAGCAGCCGCGGUAAUACGGAGGGAGCUAGCGUUGUUCGGAAUUACUGGGCGUAAAGCGCACGUAGGCGGUUACUCAAGUCAGAGGUGAAAGCCCGGGGCUCAACCCCGGAACUGCCUUUGAAACUAGGUAACUAGAAUCCUGGAGAGGUGAGUGGAAUUCCGAGUGUAGAGGUGAAAUUCGUAGAUAUUCGGAAGAACACCAGUGGCGAAGGCGGCUCACUGGACAGGUAUUGACGCUGAGGUGCGAAAGCGUGGGAGCAAACAGGAUUAGAUACCCUGGUAGCGACUGA